rnacentral:rRNA from 1 species
GACGAACGCUGGCGGCGUGCUUAACACAUGCAAGUCGAGCGGUAAGGCCCUUUCGGGGGUACACGAGCGGCGAACGGGUGAGUAACACGUGGGUGACCUGCCCUCAGCUCUGGGAUAAGCCUGGGAAACCGGGUCUAAUACUGGAUAUGACUCCAUGACGCAUGUUGUGGGGUGGAAAGCCUUGUGCGGCUGAGGAUGGGCCCGCGGCCUAUCAGCUUGUUGGUGGGGUGANGGCCUACCAAGGCGACGACGGGUAGCCGGCCUGAGAGGGCGACCGGCCACACUGGGACUGGGACACGGCCCAGACUCCUACGGGAGGCAGCAGUGGGGAAUAUUGGACAAUGGGCGAAAGCCUGAUCCAGCCAUGCCGCGUGAGUGAAGAAGGCCUUAGGGUUGUAAAGCUCUUUCAGCGGGGAAGAUAAUGACGGUACCCGCAGAAGAAGCCCCGGCUAACUUCGUGCCAGCAGCCGCAGUAAC